GAUGAACGCUGGCGGCGUGCCUAAUACAUGCAAGUCGAGCGAACGGACGAGAAGCUUGCUUCUCUGACGUUAGCGGCGGACGGGUGAGUAACACGUGGAUAACCUACCUAUAAGACUGGGAUAACUUCGGGAAACCGGAGCUAAUACCGGAUAAUAUAUUGAACCGCAUGGUUCAAUAGUGAAAGACGGUUUUGCUGUCACUUAUAGAUGGAUCCGCGCCGCAUUAGCUAGUUGGUAAGGUAACGGCUUACCAAGGCCACGAUGCAUAGCCGACCUGAGAGGGGUAACCGGCCACCUGGAAACGAGGCAACGUCCCGACUUCCAAGGGGAGGCAGCAGAAGGAAUCCUCCGGCAUGGGCCAAAGCCUUAACGAGGCAAGGCGGGUGGGUUAAGAAGGUCUUUGGAUUGUUAAACUCCUUUAUUAGGGAAGAAAAAAAGUGGAAGUAACUGUGCACAUUCUGAAGGUAACCAAACCGAAAGGCAACGCUAAACUACGG
rnacentral:rRNA from 1 species